AUGUUAUCAAGAAAGGCGGAGGGACUAGACCCUGUGAAGCCUUAGCAACCCUUUCAUCAAGAAAGAAGGUGCUACAUUCUACCUAUUUUGGGAUAGAUAACUA
rnacentral:ncRNA from 2 species